CUGAGAUGGUGCCAAGAGGAAGGGGCUGGGGCUCUCUGGGGCUUCAGGAAGGGCUCCGAGGAUGAGGCUGCCCUUGCCCUGAGCCUUAAAGGAUGAGACAAGGCCUGACAGGCUCCAUCUAAAGCGUGGAUUCCAGGCAGAGGCCACAGCAAAGACACAGAACAAACACCAAGUGCCCCGGGGGUGCUGAAGACACGCGCAGGAAUGAAGAAGGUCAUUAGACAGUUGACAAGGCAAUCAGGCAUUGCUCCUUAUCAGAAGGAAAACUCAGGAGGCCCAUCCCAGCACAGCUGAGAGCUGAAGGAAGAGCUUCCUAACUGCCUGCACAGUGGUACAAGAGGACAGGAAGCUGCCGCCGUGGGUGAAACAGCCCUGGGCCCAGUUCCUCCCGGGCGGGGCCUGGAUUCCACCUGCGGCGUCUGAGGCCCCAGUGCCAGGGUUGCCAAAUAAAAU